rnacentral:lncRNA from 1 species
GGAGGGACAGUAUUUUUAUUUCUAUGGCUUCCUUACCACAACAGAGGAAGCUUAGUGGCCACAGGGGUCUAGUUAAUGAGCGGGUUAUACAAUAUUCAUUGUGUUGAGUUUAAGUCUUCAAACAGAACGUCUAAUUGCAAAAAGAAAGAAGGAAGCCCAAUUACAGAUGUUAAGACAACAAAGCUCAGGAAUAACUCCCUCUGUUGAUGAAAGUGUCCUCUCCCGGGUUCCUCCACUAACUGCACAUUGACAGAGGCACAAUGAGUCCCUGUCUUCAUCAGUUAUUCUCAUUAUCUCUGCUCUGUCUGGGACACUCUCCAGGGCCCAAGGAGGGCCACUGAGAGGUCUGGGGUGACAGUCUUCUCAGAGGACUGUUUUCUUGCUACCCACAGAAGGAGUGAUCCAGUUGUACUCUGCUUGAACCAAAACAAAACUGUUCUCCCCAAUCUUCCUGACGUGCACAGUCUCACCACUGUUGCUCCUGGCAACAGCAUCCGAAGCGGGCUCACUGAAAGACACUUCUGUCUGCUGGUGGCAAUACUGGGUGUGCAGGUAGCGAAGGCCAGCGGCCAGGGGCCGUGGGUUGGUCUGCCGAGGGUAUCCCACUCCACCCUCUC